rnacentral:rRNA from 1 species
UACGGAGGGUGCGAGCGUUGUCCGGAAUCACUGGGCGUAAAGGGCGCGUAGGUGGCCUGUGGAAGUCUGCGGUGAAAGCCCGGCGCUCAACGCCGGGUCGGCCGUGGAUACUCUCGGGCUCGAGCUUACUAGAGGCAGAUGGAAUUCCUGGUGUAGCGGUGGAAUGCGCAGAUAUCAGGAGGAACACCGAUGGCGAAGGCAGGUCACUGGGCCGCAACUGACGCUGAGGAGCGAAAGCAUGGGAGCGAACAGG